rnacentral:rRNA from 1 species
AAAAYGACUYUCGGCAMCGGAUAUCUAGGCUCUCGCAUCGAUGAAGAACGUAGCAAAAUGCGAUACUUGGUGUGAAUUGCAGAAUCCCGUGAACCAUCGAGUUUUUGAACGCAAGUUGCGCCCGAWGCAUUUAUGCCGAGGGCACGUCUGCCUGGGCGUCUCCUAA